UACGGAGGGUGCAAACGUUGCUCGGAAUCAUUGGGCGUAAAGCGCACGUAGGCGGCCUGAUAAGUCGGGUGUGAAAGCCCUGGGCUCAACCCAGGAAGUGCACUCGAAACUGUCAGGCUUGAAUAUGGAAGAGGGUCGCGGAAUUCCCGGUGUAGAGGUGAAAUUCGUAGAUAUCGGGAGGAACACCAGUGGCGAAGGCGGCGACCUGGGCCAAUAUUGACGCUGAGGUGCGAAAAGCGUGGGGAGCAAACAGG
rnacentral:rRNA from 1 species